UAGGGAGACCUACUUCUGGGUAGAGUGCGAACAUCCCAACAAAAUCUAGCACCCUCAGAAGUCAUCCCAGGUCGUGCGAGAACAAUGAAUUAGACAGAAGCUUUCAAACUCUUAAACUCAGGUUUAAAAAAACGGACAAUUCAGCACCUUGCGUGAGCCAAAUCAGCAAGAAUGCUGGACUAGCAAGUCCAGACAGAACCUUGAAAAUUGCAGAGAAACAAAACUGGCAGUAGUUCGUAGUUAGAACUUCUGAUUGGCGGGAAAGGAAACUGACCCAUUCAGCAGAAGAACUAAUCACA
rnacentral:misc_RNA from 1 species